rnacentral:tRNA from 1 species
UAGAAUGAAGCUCGCUGGAUAGAGUGUUUAGCUGUUAACUAAAGUGUCGUGGGAUCAAGGCCCAUCUUUCUAG